rnacentral:rRNA from 1 species
AAAAGUGAAAGACGGUCUUGCUGUCACUUAUAGAUGGAUCCGCGCUGCAUUAGCUAGUUGGUAAGGUAACGGCUUACCAAGGCAACGAUGCAUAGCCGACCUGAGAGGGUGAUCGGCCACACUGGAACUGAGACACGGUCCAGACUCCUACGGGAGGCAGCAGUAGGGAAUCUUCCGCAAUGGGCGAAAGCCUGACGGAGCAACGCCGCGUGAGUGAUGAAGGUCUUCGGAUCGUAAAACUCUGUUAUUAGGGAAGAACAUAUGUGUAAGUAACUGUGCACAUCUUGACGGUACCUAAUCAGAAAGCCACGGCUAACUACGUGCCAGCAGCCGCGGUAAUACGUAGGUGGCAAGCGUUAUCCGGAAUUAUUGGGCGUAAAGCGCGCGUAGGCGGUUUUUUAAGUCUGAUGUGAAAGCCCACGGCUCAACCGUGGAGGGUCAUUGGAAACUGGAAAACUUGAGUGCAGAAGAGGAAAGUGGAAUUCCAUGUGUAGCGGUGAAAUGCGCAGAGAUAUGGAGGAACACCAGUGGCGAAGGCGACUUUCUGGUCUGUAACUGACGCUGAUGUGCGAAAGCGUGGGGAUCAAACAG